rnacentral:lncRNA from 1 species
GUAUGUCCUUAACCUUGGCACAACAAAUCUCUAAAUCGAUUGAGACCUGUCUCAGAUACUUUUUGGUUUAUAAGAUGGGGGCUGAAAUUAAAGAGAAAGCUCCUCACUCAGCUCACAAAGGAGCAGAAUGGGAAGAGGACUUAGUGAGAAUUCCCUGAACACAGGAGAAAACCGAAGCCCAGAGAGUGGAUGGCCAAGUCCAAGGCCACAUAGCCAAGUGCAUCUGAGCAGCGCAGGAUCCAGGUUUCCUGCCCCAGUGCUGUUUCUGCAGCCCGUGCCACCUGUUUUCAUACUAUCUCGGUUCACCAUCCAGCUACACACCUGCAAUCAGAAACAGAAAGUCUGAGAGUGUGUGUGGAGCCAAAGAGGGGACAGCAGUGGUGCGGCCAGUUUCAUGUCUUGUGAUUUAUUUUCUCCCUUUCUUUUUGGACUUUAAUCUUAAGUGGACAGCAGUUUGGAACAGUGCCAGCACCUUGUUGGAUUGUGCUGUUUGGGAGAGGUGACACAGAGUAUUUUAAAAGAGCAGGUUAAGAACUUUUCAUAAAGAAUCAAUUGAGAAAAAAUAAAAUAGAAACAGAAUGUCCCACAUUUGGGCUGAGCACCAAACAAAUUUUUUUUUUUUUUUUUUGAGACUGAGUCUUGCUGUGUCACUCAGGCUGGAAUGCAGUGGUGCGAUCUCGGCUCACUGCAGCCUUCGCCUCCCAGGUUCAAGUGAUUCUUCUGCCUCAGCCUCCCAAGUAGCUGGGAUUACAGGUGCCCACCACCACGCCAGGCUAAUUUUUGUAUUUUUAGUAGAGACGGGGUUUCACCAUGUUGACCAGGCUGGUCUUGAACUCCUGACCAAGUGAUCCACCUGCUUCGGCCACCCAAAGUGCUGGGAUUAUAGGCAUGAGCCACCGCACCUGGCCUCAAACAAGCUUUUUAAUUGCAUUCAGAAGUGCACCAACUAGGCACAGACCUCUGGCAUGGAAACAGAAUGGGAGGUUCUUGGUGUCUGGCCUGGUCUUGCAGAAAUCAGGGAGUUGCCGGGACCAGGCAGCCACUGUGCAUCAGAUAGGAGUUUCAGCAGCAGGCAACAGAAAGCCUGCCAAUGUAGCUGAAAUAAGAAGGGCUUAUUUUUAUCCCUGAACAGAAGCUUCCAGCACUGGUUCAUCAGGUCAGGGCACUGAGCUGGCAUCCCCAUUUAUACAGUUUUCCUUUCCUUCACCUUUGUAAGAUGCCUGGCACAGCUCUGAGCAUCAAAUAUCUGUGCCAUGUGGGAGCACACGAGGGGACAAGUGGGGAAUAGGGUCUCCUCCGUCCUCUGUCCCCAGGCUGGCUUCUCUCAUGGUAGAAGGACCCCCACAGCACCAGGCCUCAUAACUACCCUGCUGGUAAACUGCAGGUGCUGUCAAGGCUUCCUGCCUUCGUAUAUGAAAUGUUCCUUGACAGCUGGACUGCUGUUUACCGCACGCACCGCUCUGCUGCCUCUUGGUUGCACCAGUGAGCUAUUGCUCCAUGACAAACCACACCGAAAUGUAGCAAGUACUUAUUGUUGCCCACAUGUCUCAAGUCAGUUGAGUGUUUCUGCCAAUCGGGGCCUGGCUUGGCCCACCUUGGCUGAGCUUGCUCUGGUGCUAGGGUCAGCUAGACAGGUUGGCAGGAGACCAGCUGCUCUAGAAGAGCCUGGACAGGAUGAAUUGGUUCUCCUUCCACGUGCAUCUUGCAUCCCUCCAGCUAAGUAUUUGAACCCAGGUCUCAUCUGACUCCAAACGCACCAAGAAGAUGGAGCCUAGAGUGACACAGAGGAAGAGGCCCCUGGAUGGAUGCAUGGGGAAGGUUAGAAGCAAGGCACAAGUCAUACCUACAUUCAAGGAGAGGAGACCAUGCAAAGGAUAAACUUCAGAGAGACAACAGAUUUACAUCCCAGACACAUUCACACUGGGCAAAGAGCAGCUGCCAUUGCAGAUUUGAGUCACGUCCUUUUUUCCCUCCUUCUCCUUCUUGGAGUUACAGCAGAAGCUGGGGAGGUGAGAGUGCAGAAAGGACAUGGAUGAAGCAGAGAGGCAUGUGCCUGUCUCAUUCGCCUCUGGAUCUGCUGCAUCCAGGACCAUGUCAGCACAAAGUGGGAGCCCGAUAAAUAUUUAUUGAAGAAAUGAAAGGUGACAAAAGGCAGAAGGAGGGAGACCCCCAAAAGAGUUACACUGGAAGAAGAGCCCCUCCUCCCUUCAAGCCAAGUCAUCCCCUUGGGCUCUCACCACUGUGCUUGCCUUCAGUUUAUACCUUGCCUGUAGUCCAGUCCCUCCUGCAUCAAUUCCAUCAGCCCAAAGGCAUACUUUAAUUCCUUCUACUGUUAAAAAAAAAGCUCUCCCUCUCUUAGGGUGAGAUGAAGUGGUUUGCAACAGGCCAGUGCUACUUUCAGAGGCGUUUGAAUCAGAGUGACUCCAUUUUGAAUAGGGGCUGAGUAAAAUAAGGCUGAGACCUACUGGGCUGCAUUCCCAUAAGCUUAGGCAUUCUAAGUCAUAGGAUGAGAUAGGAGGUCAGCACAAGACACAGGUCACAAAGACCUUGCUGAUAAAACAGGUUGUGAUUGAAAAAAAGCCAGUCAAAACCCACCAAAACCAAGAUGGCGACAAAAGUGAUCUCCGGUUGUCCUCACUGCUGAUUAUUCACUAAUUAUAAUAUAUUAGCAUGAUAAAAGACACUCCCACCAGCACCAUGACAGUUUACAAAUGACAUGAACACAUCAGGAAGUUACCCUGGGGGAGGAGCCCUCCGUUCCAAUUGUCCACCCCUUUCCUGGAAAACUCGUGAAUAAUCUACCCCUUGUUUAGCAUAUAAUCAAGAAAUAACCAUGAAAAUAGCCAACCAGCAGCCCUCAGGGCUGCUUUGCCUAUGGAGUAGCCAUUCUGUAUUCCUUUACUUUCUUAAUAAACUUGAUUUCACUUUA